GCAGAGGUGGUUCAGUGGUAGAAUUCUCACUCUCCAUGCCAGAGCCCUGGGUUCAAUUCCCAGCCAAUGUA
rnacentral:tRNA from 1 species